rnacentral:lncRNA from 1 species
UACUUCGUAUUCUUCUUAAGUACACCGUACCUUACGAUGUUCCUUAAUUAUUCUAUCUCUCAUCAAUCCGUCCUUUGUGUGUGACCCUAUAGGUUUUCGCGACGUUGGCAAUUAUAUUAAAUCACGCAUUUAACAUAAUAAACAGUGAGCGGUAUCUAGCAACACAUCACUGCUACCCAAGUCACGAAAAUGUCAUGUGAUCUGACAAAACCUCCUGUGAUAAUA